GGUUCUGUAGUGUAGCAGUUAGCAUGUCAGCUUUACACGCAGAAGGUCCUGGGUUUGCAUCCCAAGUGGAGCCA
rfam:Pteropus alecto contig165242, whole genome shotgun sequence.